UAAGCAAGCCUGGGCAAUGGCGGGCGCCCCUCCCCCAGCCUUGCUGCUGCCUUGCACUUUGAUCUCAGACUGCUGUGCUAGCAAUCAGGGAGACUCCAUGGGCGUAGGACCCUCCAAGCCAUGUGUGGGAUAUAAUCUCGUGGUGUGCCGUUUUUUAAGCCCUUCGGAAAAGUGCAGUAUUCGGGUGGGAGUGACCUGAUUUUACAGAUGCCGUCCGUCACCCCUUUCUUUGAUUUGGAAAGGGAACUCCCUGACCCCUUGCACUUCCCAAGUGAGGUAAUGCCUCGCCCUGCUUCGGCUCACGCACGGUGCGCGCACCCACUGACCUGCACCCACUGUCUGGCGAGAUGAACCCGGUACCUCAGAUGGAAAUGCAGAAAUCACCGUCUUCUGCGUCGCUCACGCUGGGAGCUGUAGACCGGAGCUGUUCCUAUUCGGCCAUCUUGGCUCCUCUCCUCAGCGGUAGGUUAGCCAUUAUACACAGUACUGCAAUGAACAUGGGAGUGUAAACAUCUCUUUGACACACUGAUUUCAAAUCUUUCAGGUCAAAAAUUCAUGUUGCACUGAAGCUCAUUGUUUGCAAACUCAUUCAGCAUAUUGGCAUUAGAUCUAAAAAGAGGAUGUACAACAUGAAAACAAACAUCUUUCUUAGUUGGCUCUUUCAUCUUUUAUAUAACUAUGCAACUCAGUAACCAUUAGGACUACUUUCAAUUACAUUUGGAUUUCAUCACUUUUUUUUACUCCAGAAACUAUCUGAAAUCAUCUCAAUAGUUACAGAGUUUGUGAUGUCAACAAACUUUUUUCAGUAGUGACUACGGUACUACUGCCCAUAGUUAGUUAUCACUGCAGUUUUGCUGGCAGCCUGAGAUCUACAAACCCUUGAAAUUAUGGAGCACUAAUUUGUUUAAAUAGCCGUUUUUUUAAGUUGGCCUAAGACCAGGAAUAACAAUGAGUUCUCUAAAUUUAUUGGAUAUUUUAUUUAUUUUUGAACUUUAUUUUGUGAUCGUAUAGCUUCUGAUUUGUUGGACACACCAAUGCUCCUGACACAUGCUAUUCACUUGGAGCAGCUCCUCUUAUGUGGCACAUUCACAGUGCAACGGUAAAAUCUAGUUUGUUCCCAAGUUACCAUAUCUCAGAGGCAUAUAAUGCUGUCCAAUUCUCUUGAAAACAAAAAUGAUUCAAGCUCCAAUAAUAAAGAUUUUUCUGCUUUGUUCUUCUGAGUCCCUUGUGCUGAGAAAACUCAUCUAGCAUAUGGGUUUUGACUCUUGGGUCUGAAAAAGGCAGCGAUCCCUGCUAAAUUCUGAACACUGACAUUAGUCGUCAGCCUUGGAAGAAGCAACAAUCACAACGAUCUGCUUUUUAAUGAGGCAAAGGACCAGAAAUUAAGACUAUUA
rnacentral:lncRNA from 1 species